GUCGUUCGGGCUGCUAUACAUGCAGUCGAGCGAAUGGAUUAAGAGCUUGCUCUUAUGAAGUUAGCGGCGGACGGGGACAACACGUGGGUAACCUGCCCAUAAGACUGGGAUAACUCCGGGAAACCGGGGCUAAUACCGGAUAACAUUUUGAACCGCAUGGUUCGAAAUUGAAAGGCGGCUUCGGCUGUCACUUAUGGAUGGACCCGCGUCGCAUUAGCUAGUUGGUGAGGUAACGGCUCACCAAGGCAACGAUGCGUAGCCGACCUGAGAGGGUGAUCGGCCACACUGGGACUGAGACACGGCCCAGACUCCUACGGGAGGCAGCAGUAGGGAAUCUUCCGCAAUGGACGAAAGUCUGACGGAGCAACGCCGCGUGAGUGAUGAAGGCUUUCGGGUCGUAAAACUCUGUUGUUAGGGAAGAACAAGUGCUAGUUGAAUAAGCUGGCACCUUGACGGUACCUAACCAGAAAGCCACGGCUAACUACGUGCCAGCAGCAGCGGUAAUACGUAGGUGGCAAGCGUUAUCCGGAAUUAUUGGGCGUAAAGCGCGCGCAGGUGGUUUCUUAAGUCUGAUGUGAAAGCCCACGGCUCAACCGUGGAGGGUCAUUGGAAACUGGGAGACUUGAGUGCAGAAGA
rnacentral:rRNA from 1 species